CGGCCGCCGCUGCCGCGCCGCCGCCGACCAAUCAGCGCCGCGCCGCCCCGCGCCGCGCCCCCAUUGGUCCGAGCGGGAAGCGGGGCUCGGACCGGCGCGACGCCGGGGGGUGGGGGGAACGCCGGGGCGACCCGCGGUACCGGCCCCGCUGCCCCUGGCCACCCGGCGCCCUCCUUUCGGCCCCCCCGCUCCGAGCUCCGCGGCUAUGUUGCGUUGCGCGGCGAGCGGCCACCCCCCCGGCGCUGCCGGUGCCCCCGUCCAAAAGCACAGCCAUCCUUUCCCCGCGGGCCCCGCCGGUCGGGGAACGAAGAGCGCUCCGUGUCCCUUGUACCUGCGGACUGGGCUGCGUGGAGCUCCGAGCGGGCGCUGGCGGGGAGAGCUGCCCCGGCCCCAUCACGCAGCCCGGUGCAGCGGUCCCCGAGACCGGCCUUUUAUCCCGGCGAGGGAAAUAAAGACCGUUCAGGUAAGACCCAUUUUAAUACACUACCCCCUCCACCCACCCCACGCGUCCCUGGUGGGAGCCGAGACACGGGCGUGGGGUUGAUCUCUUUUUAUUUACCCGGGGAACGGCGCUCGGUAACGAUUCCCCAUCUCACAGGUCUCUUGCAGGGGGAGGUUGCAGCUUAGCUCCCAGAAAUGCAAUCUCCUCCUCUCCUCAUCCCUUUUCCUUCCCCUCCUACAAAAUUAAGAAAAAAAAAAAACCUUAAAAAACCCCUUUUAAGUGUCUCCACCAGGCCUUUAUAAGAUUAAUUCAGCACAACCCAGCCUAAAACACUUUUACAAUGUAAUUACAGUCGUACAAAUUGUUUGUCUAAACCUCAUUCUGGAUAAGAAUUUUACAAUUAGCAAACAGUUAUUACUCUUAGGGCUUGCUGCGAGAAAUUGCGCUGCGCGCCUCUCCGCUUGCAAUAUACCGGCCAUAAAAAAAAAAAAAAAGGCCAGUGUAAUCCGGGCAGCAAUUAAUCAUCUAUUAAAAGGGGAAAAGUAGCCGGACAGUUCCGCGCUAUUUCGAUAAACUCCUGCCCAGGCGGAUGGGCUGCGCGGCAGCACCGACCCGCGCAGCAUCUCGCCCCGCUGCCUUUUUAGGCAAGGUGGCUCUUUUUUAAAAAAUUAUUUAUUUUCCCCCUAAAACUUGCUGUCUUGCAGGAAUCUAUUGACACUUGCCCAUCGCCCUGUGGAAAAGGAGAGGGGAGGAGAACAGGGAUUGGGGGGAAUACUAAAAAGCGAAGAGCGAGGGGGUUUGGUGGGCGCCCGGGCCGGGCAGCGGCCUCGCUGCGCAGCGCGGUGCAUUGCGCGCUACUGCGCGGCCCCGGCGCUACCCCCGCUGCCCCCCCGCCCCCCCCCCCCCCCCCUUAAACCGGGCCUUUCGCGGAGGGGUCCACCGAGCUGAGGCAAAAAAAAGGCGCCUGGGGAGCAAGGGAGCCUCCUCCGCGAAGUGGAAUCUGGGUCCAUUUGCUUAUCGGAUAAUAAAUGAGGCUUUUAAUCAGGCUGAAUUUCCCAGCUUAAGGAAAGAAUUAGUCAUACCUAGGAACAAUCCAAUGUUUUCUAGCUGGCUUCCCUGCCGCCUUCCUAGCAGGGAUUUGUGGUGAGGGGAGAGGAAAUUAGCAUCCAAGUGUGCUCUUUCACCAUUAAUAUUGAAAUUUGAAAACUGAAAUAGGAACAACCAGAAGAGCCAAACAAACAAGAAACCGCAGAAGAAAGCGUUUGAAAGGCGGCUGAGAGAUAAUCCAGGAAUGCUUCAGAUAAGGGGGGGGGGGAAGCGAUACGUGCGGAGAUACCCGAAAAGUCAGAGCCUGAUGAAACGGUUGAAAGAGAGAUGGGGAAAAAGAAAAAAAAGCAACCAACCUGUUUAAAGAUCUAUUAAAGGGCAGACCCUAGCAGGGGGGGAGGGGGGAAGUGCUAAUAAAAGGGGGUUAACUGCAAGGGAUUUCAGAGAGCAGAUGAGGCGCAGCGCCUGGAGUUUCGGGGGUUGUUUACUAGCUCCCGAUUCAGAAAAACAAAAGAGCGGCUGGUCGGGCUGGGGAGUCAGCCCGAGGUCAGACUGCGCUCCUCCGGCAGCUCCGGGAAACCCGCCCGGGCCCGGGAUGCCGUCGGGACACCGGGACGGGCGAUGCCGGCCCCGGCGGCCCGGGAUGUGUGUGUGGGGGGCUGCUCGCUCCCGCCCCACCGCCGGCCCUGACCUUCGCAGAAGUUAUGGGGGUCUUUUGUUAAUUAAAUGGAGGGCUUCAUAAAAUGAUCUGAAUAAAAUUUACAGUUGUCUUAAAACUUUCUAAACACCGCUAUAAAUAAUAAUAAUAAUAAUAAUAAUAAUAAUAAUAAUAAUAAUAAUAAUAAUAAUAAUAAUAAUAAUAAUAAUAAUAACUGGGAAAUGAGUUGCUGGUCGGGAUUUUUGUCACUUCGACUUCUCCGGCGGAGAGGAGGGAAGGCACAGACACAAAAGGAACUAUUCAGGGACAAAAGUUGCGGCGGCUGCCAGGUUUACCCCGCGGUGGCACCUCGGGGUUGCUCAGGCGAGGCAGAGCAGAGCCGACCCGAGUCCCUGCCCGGCAGCUCCUUCCUAUUUCACACUACGAUUAGACAAUUCCAGCCUAAAAUCCCCAGAAUAGCCUCACAGCCCGGCAGCACGAUAGUAUUGGGUGGUUUGUUUUGUUUUGGUUUUUUUCCUCACACGAUCUAGGCGCCACAAGUUCAUUUGUAUUAAUUUGGAAACGCUGCCCCGCUCCAGUGUUUGCAAUACCUGUGUUUAGCCCAACUUUCCACCGCAUUUCUUUACUCCCUGCCGAUGCCAAGCUCUCUUCCUUUGCUACUGAUAUUACUGUGAUUCUCGUUGAAUGCAAUAAUAAUAAUAUCAACAAAUUGCUGGACAAAACUCUGGCUGCUUAAUUAAAGAAAAAAAAAAAAAAAGAAAAAGCUGUCCGACGGUUUUGAAGGAUUGAGCUGUUGUGCCGUCUACUGGGCGAUGGGGAAACUACAGCCAGAAAUGCCUCCUAACUUUCUGCGGGAAGAAAAAGUAGGAUUUUCGGCAAUUUGGAGGCGCCGGAGGUGCCCAGUUUCUUAACAGAAGAAGGAGAAAAGCGACCUCAGCCAGAAAAGCCGUAGACGCAAUUAUUAUUUCCUUCGGUUACACCCAUAAUAUGGUAUAAAACUCCAAUUUUAAGAGCUCGGGAUUUUAUUGACUGCAAGGAGCGAAGCCAUCGGCUGCAUUCCGGGGGGGUAAAAGAUGGUUUGAGUUUACCAGUGAAAAUCAGCUGGAUAUUAGCUAAAUACGUAGGAAGAGAGGGGGGAAAAAAUCGAAAAAUAAAGGGGUAAAUAUUUGGGAAUGGUUUAAAAAGUUCUCCGGCUGCAGCCGUGGGGCAGAGGGAGCUCCCAGCCCCGAGGAUGCUCUCGGACGGCAGCAAAGGCAAUCGAAUUUGAUGCCUCGAUGGCAGUCGCUGCUCGGUGUGGCAACAGCAGCGGGGGGUUACGCCAGCACAACGUUUAGUCUCGGUUUAGACGAAGCCCGCACGUUGCUCUUUUAAAUUCCCAGCGGCGGAUGCUCCCAGGCAGACACAGCCAAACUGGGUGAUUCCCCUCUCCCUGCCCGUUUGGCUCUUCACUCUCCUCCAAAAACAGAGUUCAAGGAGGGAUGCAAAAUUAAAAGGUUGUUGUUUUGUUGUUGUUUUUGUUAAAAAAACCCAAAACAAACAACACCCAAACUCUUGAUUUUGCGAGGCGAGAGGCGCAGAGGGGCUGUGAAAUGCAAAGCCUCUGUCGUAUUUACAGAGACUGUCAGCAGCCGACUGUCCAUGGAGAUAAAAAUCUACUAGUCUACGUGAGCUCAAAGGAGUUUUUUAAAGCAAAGAUCUCUAAGCGCCUCUUCUCCAUCCACACACAUGCACGCAUGUAGCCUAAAAGCCGGAGACAACCGCCUAGUUGAACAAUAGUGUUUUAAAUAAUAUGUUAAAUGAGGGUAUAAGCAAACCCUUCUGCCACUUGUAGCAGACCAGCUCCGACAGCUCUCUUCCUUCAGAGCCACUUGCCAGAAUUCAACAGAGGGUGACAUUAGCCUAAAAUAUUCGAUACCUUUUUUGCUGGAGACUUUCCCCACUUCUGUUGGGCUCCGAGUGUCUCUCUGCGGGUACAAUUGCUGUCUUUGAAGGAAAACAACAACCUGCUCGAUUUUUUAUCAGCAAGGGAUUACGGAUACUUUCCUCAGAGUACAUAAAGCAGAACUGAAAUGAUCCCGUGCCCCUGGUAUAAAAAGUUGACCGGUCCUCUUCUAAAAAGUUGAACAAAGUAUCUUUACCCUUUUAAAUAAGUCUGAAAGCACUUGCAACAUAGUACGAGAAGCAAAUUAGCGAGUAACAAAAUAAAACGCCAAUUUCAAGCCACAGGGAAUUCAAUAUCGGUAUCUGACAGUACCUCGGCUGAACUAGAGGAAAACGGAGUUUUGUCAGAGCCUUUCCAUUUGAUGCUUUCCUCCAAACUAAUUUUCAAUAUUGCUCCCUUUCUAUUACCCUACCCCGUAUUCAGCUUAGCUAAUGAGCCCAUUACAGAACUAUUUCGGGCUUGCUUCUGAUGCCGAUUGCAGAGGAUAGGCAUUAAUUGGAGCGGGGAUCUGGGGUUGUUAAGCACGGUGUGAUCGGAGGUAAACUCGGGGGCUCUCUGAGGGCUUCGCCUUGCCCUCCAAGCCGCGGAGGUGGGUUACGGCAAACGAUAUCAUCUAGGUAAAUCUGGGUAUAAACCAUCCACGGUUUUAUAAAAUAAAACAAGGGAAAGGAAAGAAAGAAGGAAAGGAAAGAAAAAAGGAAAGGAAAGGAAAGGAAAGGAAAGGAAAGGAAAGGAAAGGAAAGGAAAGGAAAGGAAAGGAAAGGAAAGGAAAGGAAAGGAAAGGAAAGGAAAGGAGGGAAAAAAAGGAAAGAAAGAAAGAAAAAAAAGAAAGUAAAAGAAAAGGAAAGGAAAAGAAAAAGAAAAGGAGAGAAGGAAAGGAAGGCUCAAAGCUGUGUGCCCGCCGGUGCGGGUCAGGCAGUACUCGGGGCGGCUCCGGAAAGGGCGUUCGGCACCGGGCACUCCCGGGACCCGUAGACCCCCAGGGGCCGCCCAGCCCGUCAUACCCCCCGGCACCGGGUCCGACCCGUUCCUGGGUGUGCAAGGGGCCGGGGAGAGAGGGGAGCACGUCAAGGUCCCCGCAACCUCCCCUCUCCGAGAGUUACCAGCUGCCCACAGUUUCCCCAGCUCCCCCCAGGACAGCACAACCCGCCGCUAUCUGCGUCUGUGGGUGCAUUAUCACAGACUUCUGCAUAAUUGCAUAUUGACUUUAUUAAAUGGAUCUGCAGAGCUAUUUAAACAUCUCUCUUUUCCACCCGCAAACAAUUCUCCCGGCAAGGGAAAAAAAAAAAGGGGGGGUUAGAAAAGAGCUUUAAGUUGCUCCUGCUCCUUCGUUUUCAAGCAUUUUAAUAAAUGCUUGAAAACGAAGGAGCAAGAGCACCUUAACUGAGGGCACAAGUGGCUCAUCUCUAAGCGGUUUGAAUCCUACUUGGUGUGUGUGAGUGCAGGCAAGCAGAGGAGACCUGCAGUAGCAUCUGUGACAACCGGGAUGGAUGGCUGUCAUUCACUUGGGGUCUUAGAGGUGAGUGCGUGGAAGUGUCUCUCUAUUUCUGAGCUGUCUUGGAUAAUUUUUGGCCAGGUAUGAUGGUUGUGAGAAAAGCGUACAUGGGUAUUUGUGUGUGCACAUGAAGGACUGCUCUAAGGACAACUUAGGGAAAAAAAAAACCUUCCUCGUUAACCAUUUUUAAAACCUCCCUUGGAGGAGAAGCACUCAAACGUGGCGUCCCCCCUCUCCCUACGCCUCCCCACUCACAGCAGUGCCACGCAAGCCACGUCAGCCCCAAACCACAGAGCUGGGCUUUGCCUCAAAGAACACGAGUGCUCAUCCUCUGCCUGCACUGCCCCCAACCAACCCCCCAACAUCCCCUCUUUAUCCUCCUCACUCGCGGGCUGGAGAAGAGGCAGCUGCCCCUCGCCCUUGAGCCUCGCAGGGGAAGGUGGCCUCCUCCCGCCCCAAGGCCAGCUCCCCAAGGCAGCAGCUGUGAGAAGCAGGAGGCAGGGAGGAAAGAAAAAAGUGAAGAAGAGAAGGAGGGGGGGAUCAGGGAGGGAGGCGGUGAAAGCUGCACUUUCCUCCGAGCAGAGCGAGCGUCCCCUUGGAGGGGCCCCAGCCCCAGGAGCUGCCUCCCGAGCCCUGGGCCUCCCACAUGGCAGCAGCAGCAUCGCCUCCUCCGCAGCCCCCCAGCCCCGCUGGGGGCAGCCCCGCAUCCUGGCUCGACCCCCCGGCUGCUCCCCAUCAGCCUUGCGGAUCUGCGGUGAGGGGCUGGCGAGACAUGCAGACCCUCACAGGUCCCAGAUGGGAAGCUCGAAGGGCCUGGGGAUUCGGAGAAUCGUGCACCAUGACGUGACGCUAACGGUCACUUUCUAUGGCUUAUUUAAAGGGUUCAUGGAAAGAUCUUGCAGGGAUCUGCAGUUGUCAAAGGGCAACUCCAGUGAGAAGAACCCAUCAAGAUGCAUCAAGAGAGCAUUUUCUUCAAGCUUACCCCACUGAGCUUUGCUUGAGAAGCUGCAAUUGCACUUUAAAGAAAAUGCUCUCAUGCUUUUACCCUCAACUUGUUGUGGGAACAAGACAAGGAAUCAGAUAGGCACUCAAACUCCCAAGACUCUGGAAAGGGAGUAUUUCUUACAUGGAACCAGAGAAACAUCUCGUAGAGCAAUCAGCACAGCUCUCCUCAACUGCAACAUUAUUUCAUUACAUUUAGUUGAUUUUAUAUCAAUCAAAUACUCUAUAUUUUGUCUAAGAGAGCUCUCAGCAUGCUCUGAGGGGGACCAUCCCAAAGUAAAACCUGUCACUUCAAAUUUCCAAAAAUAUUUUGCUCCUUCUCCUACACUACAGUUACCACAGUCCACGCAAAAUCUGGCACCUAAUUCCUGUCAGAGAUGUAAACCAUCUUUAGCAAACAUGGGCACUAUGCCAUACUUCAGGAGUUCCCUACCAGCCCAAGUCUCAUCAAAAGUCACAGGGAUUAAAUGCCUAAGUCACCUUUUGAAAAGGGCUGUACCUUUCUGAAGGUAGCUAUGCAUCGCAGUGCACGUAGGCACAAACAAAUUAGCUUUUAACCUCUCCAUUGUGGAGCCAACAAAAGCAUGUCAGCCAGCUCUACCCACCCAAGUGGUCCCCAGGGGAUUUUGGGGACACUGAAUCCUUUGCCUCACCCCUCUUAUUCCCUCAAAACACUGCUUUUAUGCCUCUCUGGAUGCAAACAGGAGCAGAAUGGAGUAAUGUCAGACAAAAGUGAACCACAGAGGUGCACUAGCACAGCUGUCGCUUCAGUCCUCCUCUCCGUUUCUACCAUCCCUUUUAAUUGGAACUUGCUUGAGUGCAGUCCCUGAAACAGGACCACUCACCCAAAUGAUGUAUGUCAGCUCAUAGCGUCACAAGCAUCACUGGAGCAGCCGAACAUCUCACAAGCAUGUGUGUGAGAUGGGAAAUCCUCACUCUAUGGCCAGAGUACUUGAGGCACAGAAGGUUUUCAAGGGACUCAACCAAGAAACUACGUGAUAGUGUGAGGAACAGAGGUGAGAUACUCUGACUCUUUGGCCUAUGCUGGAAGACAAGCUGUUCCCACCCUACUCUUCAUUAACGCAUAAAUAGCAACUCUGGACCUUGCACAGAACUCUCCCUCCACAGAAUAUCUUGCUUUAAAUUAUUUUCCCCAUAUCAUGCUAGAUCAUAUUUCUUCUUUUAUGUUUCCAAGUUGAAGUUUAUUAUAGUUUAUUAUAGCCGUCUGCAUUGCUGAUCAUUUGUAACCCUUUCUAUUAUUUUCCUGUCCUUGCUACUGUUUGAAAUGCUUCUUACUUCGGUCCUCUUUUUGAAUUUUAUUACUAUACUGCUCACCCCAUUUUUCACCCAAGCGGAUUCUGCCUCGUUUUUAUUUUAGCCAAACUUGAGACUGCAGCAGCUCCUUCUCCUUUGCUGUACAGCAUCACAGCCUUUUUCAUACACUCUACGCCUCUCUGUUGACGAAGAGACCCUCACCGGGUUUCAUCAGCCACGUUGUCCUUGCCAUUAGUGUUACAUUUCUAGUUAUUCUUGCUUCUUCCCAAAGCCUUUGAAGUCCUGUAGAGACAAUUUGAUUCAUUAGUACACUCGGUCUUGCAGUAACUCUAGCUUCUGCUGUAGUUUCUGUAUUAGAAGCACAUGUUUGGUCUAUAAGUAGGGGGGAAGCUCCACCAUCCGUGCUACGAAGUUAAAAUUCUGCUUUAAAAAUCUUUGCCUGGCUGAACUGAGGUGGCUGGUGACUUUCUGUCCAGGGUUUCUGUACCUAGAAAUGCCACAUCCUCCACCAUCCAUACAUUCCUGCUUGCAUGACAAACUCUAUUCAACAACAUGCUUUCUCUUUCUGUGUGUCUCCAAACUGGAAGGUUUUAUGACAGUUGCAUGUGUUUCAUGGUUUUCAUGGUUUGUUUCAUGGUUUUCCAGAAGAGCUGCAGUUAAUCCUGAAUAUUUCCUUACUGAGAUGUCACUUAGCCUCAUGCAGGCUGAGAUCUAUUGGCAGCACUCUUCAUUAGAUGUCCUCACAGAAGGCAGGUUGAGAGGCAGACAACCCCUUCAUUUCUUCUUCAGGCUGUUGGGGUGUUGGGCCAUGCUCCUCCAUGAGGGACCACCUGAAAGGAUCUCUUGCUUUCUUGACUCAGACCACUCCUCCCAAAGCCAUGCUCAAAAAACAAUGGUGUGGACAUCAAAGAUAUAAAACGUGGCUUGACACACAUCCCUUUUUGAGCCUUCCUGUGCUGUCCUGCUGCUGUGCUUUGUCCCCACUGAGUGUGGCUCCUGGGUUUCCAACUGCUUUGACGGCUUCUUCACUGCCCGGUGUGUUUGUGUGUUCCUCCAAACACACAAUGAGACCAUCACAAACAGCCACUAAAUCUCAGAGGGACUUUACCUCCUAAGUGUAUCCAAAACCAUAGUGUUUAGACUAAGACACCUCCUAUGAAAACUCUGCCACAGAGCCACUUGUUCCUCUGGGUGUGUAGUUUAUUCCAUUCCCUCUUUCUACUUUCCAGUGCUUUUUCUAAAGCUCUUCUUACCUGCCUGUCUCUUAAUAUAGAUUCUGGUUAGGAAGCCAAACCUUCCUGCCUCAUGUUUUCCCUUGGAUCAGUUCCCUGCUCCUAGCCAAGGUUGCCUACGGAUGCCGCUUUGAAGUUUUUUUGUGAGACAUUGGCUGCACUUGGUGACUCUUCCCUCGGCUGACGUCACCUCGGGGGUCCCUCUCCAGCAGGCUGAGAGUCACAUUGCCUCCACUUGCUUUGAUCAAAAUGAAAUCCAUUUACAAGCGCCUGACGGGCCGGCACAAACAGACCCACAGGUUUCUAGCCAAAACUAGCCGACAUAAAAAUAUCCCAGCUUUAACUUCAGUCAAGUCCUUAAACUAGCUAAGAAGAGGCAAAGCCCAGAAGAAAAAAAACCUUUAAUUUCAAUUUAUGAGCAGUUUCUGCUUGUUUAGCUCAAAUAAAUCCCUCAUCAUCAAUUAAGCAAAAUCAAUGUAAGAUCAGCUUAAAACAGUGUCCAUACAGGGUUCUACCUCAAUAUUUUAAAAAGUUAAUUUAAAAUUACACUUCAGAUCACUUUCCUGCUCGGAAAAGGUUUGUUUCUAGAGACCAUCUGGGCCCUGACUACAAAUGGUGUUCAGCUCCAGUGGGUCUGGGUGAAGAUGGUAGAAGCAGAUGGAUCUCAGUGAUGCUGGAAAUCGGACUCAAUCCCAGCACCGAUGGCGAUUCAGCCUGCACGUCUUUCAAACCCCAGUAAAACCUGGCUUUCAAUUGCUGUUCCUAUGAGCUGAAGCGGUUGGUCUCUGUGUUAGAAAAGUUCAUUUUUCUUUGUGAUUGUAUUGUGAGACUCUACUUGUGUUUGCUAAGUUGUUUUCCUGAACUCAAUAAGCAGAGCAAUUGUCUAGGAGUAAAAAUGAGGGGUUUCAGCCCAAAAGAUUACCAUCCACUUUACGAAGUUUUCCCCUUUCAAGUAUUUCAAGUAUUGAGGGCUACAUUUUGGCAAAUCCUCUUCAAAGGAAGGAAGGAAGUUGAAGGGUGUUUGCAGCCAGGCGACUUUGUAUAAUCCAUCUUUUCUUUAAAACUUCAAGCCUUACCACAGGGAGGGCAGGUCUGACCUCAGGCAAGUUGUAGAAAACACAGUUUGAAAAAAAAUGUAUUUGAAGCGUUGCAGAAGUACCUUCUCUAUGUGCUCAGUUCUUCGCUUCCCACCCAUUUCCCAAGUAGUUUGCUCCAGCAUCCUGAACCCAUGCAUGCUCCAGAUGUGCGCUGGCACUCUCACACUCGCACCAGCUGUGCCCAAGCACGCACCCUCCUCCCUAUGCAAAGCCACCCAUCGCACACCAACUUCUCACCCACAGGAGAGGAAUAGCCUGAAUUUGUUUCAAUAUUUUCUCCUUUUCACCAGUUUCCUUCUUUGCUGUUGAGCCUCUAAUUCAGUUUUACUGCCACAAACAGUUAAGCCCGUAGUGGGAAGCUAUGAAACACUCCCUGAAGGUGUUUGGUUGUAUUGCUGGCGCCUCCACUUUUGAUGCCCAGGUUUUUCCACUUCCGCUGCUAGACCCACAGAAAUGAUGGGUUAUCAAAUACCUGUGGGAUUACUGACACAACUGUCACUUUGCCAAAAAGAGGGUCCAGGUUUUCACAAUGGGAAGAAAGGUCUGGAAUAGAGAGAAUUUGAGCUCAAGCAUCACAAGGCAGCAGAUAACCAACCUGGUCCCUUCCCUUUUGUGUGCAGUGGGAUCUUAUUCCCAGGCUGGUUUCAUGUUAGCAUGGGGAUGCAAAGGCAGAAUUUACAUCCACCAACGUGCAUUAACUCCUGUCCUGACCAGUGCUAAUUACCACUAAUUAUGUGGGACAGUGUUAAUUCUUUGAGCAGCAUUACCACUGGCCUUACACUUCCGAAAGUACCUUUGGGUGAGAUACCUUACUUUGAAAAGAUAUUUAUGUGGGGAAUAAAUACAGAGUAGCUAAUAUGUCAUAAAUUCACACUGCUGGAUAGUGGCCGCUAGAGUCUCUGAAACACGGAGAUCUCUGGGCACGAAGACAGACAAACCCUUGAGUAAGAACUACUCAAUAGAAAGGGUGGCAGGAUCACCCUGUGUGAUCUUGGGAAAGUAAUUUUGAUCUGGCACUUCUCUUCUGUAAAACGGGAAAAAUAAUAUGUCCCUACCCCUCUCAGGGGUAUAAUAUUUAUUUUCUCUGCCUUGCCAAUCAUUAUCUUUGCUUUUAAAAAAAUACUCUCCAAACCCUAAUUGGUUUUAUGUGUUUGCAGUAUAAGACAUAAAACCAUCAUAUUUUUCUAUACUAUAUUUUCCCCAUUGUGUUGUACUGUUACCACGAGCACUUUGUUGUGCAGAGGCUCGGCUAUUUGCUGAGAGGAUGAAUUAAGACAUCUAAAGUGCUUCAGUAUCUUGGCUGAGUGGCACCGCAGAGCUGGAAGGUAUCAUUAGGCCAAUGGCUCUUUUCUGAGGGAGUGAGAAGCCCAGAUUUUUCAAUGGAUUAGGGGAAACCAGUUCAUGUUACUCUGUGCCGCCCAUCCUGCAAAUACAGGGCAGGAGGCCAUGGCUUUGAGUCACUGAAUUCCCUUCACUUCCUUUGGUCCAGGCAGUUCUCUCCUGACUUGGAUGGCAGAGUCCAGCCCAGGAAGCCUGGAGAUGUCAGAUGACCCUGGCUCACGCUGUCAUCAGCAUCUCUGCAGUUCAGCUGGAUAUUUCUCCUUUCGGAGUCUGCACAGUUAUCGUUAGGGCUCAGCAACAUGAUCCUGGAUGGUUUUGUUGGGAGGCUUUGCUGUUAGAUCCACUAAUGCCUGGUCCUUUUGGCCCCUGGCAAGGGGCUGGUACCCACCAGUCUCUCAGAUCCAUGGAAAAGGACCAAAAAAUACGGCAGAGGAUCUGGCUCUUUUGUAAUUUUUAGAAGGGCAACAAAGCUGGUGAGGGGUCUGGAGAACAAGUGUGAUGAGGAGCAGCUGAGGAAACUGGAGCUGUUCAGCCUGGAGAAAAGGAGGCUGAGGGGAGACCUUAUCACUGUCUACAACUACCUGAAAGGAGGUUGUAGCAUGAAGGGUGCCGGUCUCUUUUCCCAAGAGACCGGUGUCAGGGGUGUGCUACUGCUGACAGAUGAACGACAUUUCGAAAUCUGCCAGUGAAAGGCUGACUUGGUGCCCUGCCAGGCUGCGGGAGCUGCUGCUCCUCUGCAUAACCAGACUAUGCACUGAGCCAGGCUGCCUCUGUCUCCUCUGUCCCAUCUUUGGAUGGGACCUUUGCCCAUGGGUCCCUCCUUCAGUCUCACCGGCAGUUGGUGAUGUCUUGUCUGCUUCUCCCAUCACUGGCAUUUUGUUGUUGCUGGUUCUCCCUGGUUGCUGAGCAGGUGGUCCGGGCAGAUGUGGUGGUGCAGUGCUGAGAGCUUACUCCUGCAGCACUGGUGCACUGGUGAUCUCUGGGGCUUCUGGAGCCACCUGAGAUGAUCUUCAUGUCCACAGUUCCCAAAGAGAACCCUAAGAGAUGCUUCCCCCUUUCCCCUCCAGAAGUUGCAACACCCUUUCCUUGGCAUCACUCGCCACACUGGAAACACUUAUUUCAGUCUUUCUUGGUGCUCUUGCAGCAAAACCCAUGUCAGGCUCAGGGGUCUCCAAGCUCACGUAGGCUGCCUCUUCCUUGGCUCUUUCUCUAGGACUUGUGUACUAUAUUUGAGGUUAUUUUCAUCCUUUUCGUGACCAUUUGGCUACUUGGAAGUGUUUUUCUGAGCAUUUCUCUCAACAAUAUGUCCAGUAAGCUGGAAUCAGAUGUACAACAAAUGUUUUUUUAACUAAGUCAUCUUUUAUAUCUGCAGAUGGAUGCCAAGGUUCUUGACUUUGCAUAAAGCAAUUAUCCAUCUGCUUUUCGUUUUUCUAGGUGAAAGAACAGGAGACUUGUGUGUCUGAUGACAGUAGUAUGCAAACAUGCAUCAGUGCUUUCAGUGGCCUGGAAGUUUGGCUCUCUCCUCUGCUGCCUUCCCCUCCUACUUUUACAAAUAAGAGGCAACAUUUGGCCACUGCAUUCAAACUCAACUUUCGCACUCACUUCUCUCUCCAUUACUAAAAAUUUAGGCUUAAUAUAACAAAAAUAAGGGAGGGAGGUUGCAUUUUUAUCAAGUUCUUUCCCUCUUCCACUUUUCCUUAUCUGUCCGUGACACUUCCUGGCAGCGUCUCCCCGCAAACCAGCACCUGGCAAACGCUCAGGUGAGGGGAACGGGACAGCUUAUUCUCUCACUUCCCCCAGUUUUAACUCAUAAAUGUAGCAAUUUCAGCAGGAUCUGCUCUGAUUUAUGGGGCUGUAAGUGGUAGGACCGCUGUCUGUCCUUUCCUACUCCCUGACGGAGAGCCGGGGAGAGACAAGCAACUUCCGAUAGGCUUGUUGGUUCGUGUUCAUUAACAGCAGCUGUCAGACAGCUCUUGCCGAAGCUCCCCGUCCUUUCAAAACCAUCACGGCUUUCUACUUCACAUAGAAAUAUGCAGCAGUUUCGUUUGUAUAAAACCUGCAUGAAUAAAAAUUUAAUCUAAGGCUAGUGCUGCUCUAACCGCAAUAAUUUCUCUUAAAGGCUGAAUACAAAGAAUACUAAAUACUGUAUAUAAAUAAGACUGUAUUUAAUAGAGGAGAGAAGUGAUUUAAUAAGCUCACUGGUAAAAUCUUCCCUGCCACUUUCCACCCCAAAUAUACGUCUUUUUUUCCUGAGCAAAACUGCCUUGCCACAAGGAGAACUUGGGCCUCAGUAGACUGUGAUUUUUUUAAGGUGAAGUCAUUCAACUCAAGCUUUCCUGUCCAAAAGGAAGAGGAAAAAUAUCUACUUAAAGGAAAUAUUAGUUAAUCAGAGGACAUCCCUUUCAUAAUAGAAGCUACUAGGGGAUUUAAAAGCACAUUCUAAUUAUAAUAGUUCCCUAAUUAUCUGCCUAACAUCUAAUUUUUCUGUCUAAUCUCGCUUUUAAUUAUAUAGUACUUUUUUUUUUUUGCCCAUCACACAACUGAAAUACUCUAUUUUACUGAAAAUAAAUCCUUUUAACUGGUGAUGUCAGAGAAGAAAUAUUGUCACUGCCCCUUGGAACGUGUGCGCUGUCUGGUAGGGAAAUGCCUUGCCAGUGGUUUUGGAUAAAGCACCUGGAUGUGCCUUUAGAAACAGUCUUAUUUAAAGCCCUGCAGGUUUUCUCCAGUGAAAGAAAAUGCUCUAAACAAUACAGCUCUGCAAAUGUGUCCGGCUGCAAAAGUUUUCAAGCAUUUAGGUUUGUUUUUCAAGCUCUUGCAGCUUGGUGCCCCUUCCAGCGAUGCUCGAUGGGAUCCCCGCCAUCGGCUGAUGGCAGAAUAGGAUUUGGCCUUUGAACCAAGCCAGCAUGUAAUUUGCAGAACGGAAGCAAUAUUUGAGCUACAUUAUCUAUGAGCAUCUGGUCAUCAAGAUCUCUCUUAGCGAUUAGCGAGCCGAGAGGAAACCCUAUGGAGGGGGGAGAGGAAAUCCCGCACGAGGGGUUCCCGUUUCCAGCCCCGCCACGCGUUUCCUGCCCUAUCCUCCAGCAAAUCCCAGCUCUCCGCUUCCCAAGAGUGGAAAAAAAGAAUUACCCUUCAGGGAUGUUGUCAGGCUUAAUGGAUGUUUAUAAAUUGCUCGAACAAAAGAUGCUAUGUCAGUGAAAAGUACUCUUCCUGAUGAUUAUUCAAAUGCUCAUUAAAAUGCAUUUUUGCUCCAUCCUUUCCCUUGGCUUGUGUGGGAGGUGACCGAAAGAUUUAGUCUUUGUGGGAAAGCGGGAGAACACAAGCGCUUUCCUCUGGGUGUGGGAGCGGCAAGUUUAGAGAGAGAAGGACCUCUGGCACACAGGUAGGGUUUCAUCCAGGGUUUUUCGGCUCCCAGCCAGGCUGCAAGCUCUGACAGACCUUGGGCUGGUGAGUUCCCUCCAGGAAGACAAGCCAGGGAUUAAUGGUACCAACCCCUGCUCAAAUUUGCAUGUAUCAUUUCCUUAGCUUUGCUCCAGAUGGAAUGAGGGAUCAUCCUUCAGUGAAAAUUAUUCUUAAUGUGUAUUUAAGCAUUAAAAAUGAAUAUGCAUGUGUGAUAAAACUUAGGGAAUAAUUUAUAAACAGCUAACAUAACAUGAGAUAUGGAGUACCUGGCUGCCCUGCAAACCUGUGCAAAUGUCUGUAUAAUGCUGGGAUGCUUCAUGGAUGUUUCAUUAUGUCUCGCUGACCCCUUCAUGUUGGCUUGGUCUGCCAGGGUCCUGCUGGCAUUUCCAGGCAUGAAAAGUUGCAGAAGACAUGACACAUCUUCAUACUUUUCACUGCAUUGGACAGCAGCUUGGCAUCUGAGCUGGCAGUCUAGACACAACAUUUUUCACCCCCUGUGACUACCUAAAGCUGCCUGUACCCUCAAACAGCAUCCAAAAUGAAAGAUAAUGUUCUUUUCUGCCAGCUUCCAAAUCAGCAGCACAAGCCAUGGAUAUGAAAAACAUGGAUUUGCCGGUAAAUAUUUUCUAUCCAAAAUGCAAAGAAUUUGAUGCUUUUCAGGCAAAAAGCUGCUGCCAGUAGUAAUUAAUGUAGUUUCUAAUUAAAGUGCGCUUACUUGUUCCAAUAGUUAUUUUUAAAGGAUGAGAGAUGCUUCUGCAGGCAUGAUGGCUGCUCCCAAAUACAGUCCUUGCCCUUGCAGUUGUCACAUAGUGCAUCAGUAGUGACCCCUCCACUACCAUUUUGACGUGUACUUUUUUCCCCUCUCCUGGGGAAUACUUGUUCUGUCAUGUCAUUUCUUUAUACCAGGCAAAUUCUCGCUGACGCUGCAGACAGCUGCUGGAUGAACUCAGCCUCCUGUAGUGUAUUAGACAACGGUGUGGAGCAGCACUUCUCGUGUCUCCUUUGCAAAGGCCAAACUGGCAGCACAAAGUGGUGAAGCAGAGGCAGGACUACUCACUGAUGUCUGCAAGGAUUUAAGAAGAGAUGGUCCAGCAUGGCUCCUCUGUGUUUCAGUAGGAGCUGUUGAAAGAUCUCCGUUACAACCCAUAGUCACCUUGUGGUUUUAGUAAUUCUAAACCACUUUUUUUCCCCUUUCAGUAGUCAAAGCCAUCUAAAAGUUAUUGUAGUUACAUUAAAAACCUGAUUCUGAGUAAGGAUGCUUAAAUGUGCAUAUCCUCUAAGCUCUCCAUGUACACAGAAAGAGGAUUUUGGGUGGUAGAGCUUGCCCAGCUCCACCAAAGAACCUAGAGCCUUCCACAAACCAGCCCACAGUGUUUUUGGUAAUAAUUACAUUAGUGAGCAGUUAGUCCUGGCUUCAUGCCCAAGCUGAAAACAUAAUGCAGCAUCAUUUCUUUUCUAGGCACUGUGUGGAAAGCACAGAUCAACUUGUCUUCAAUAAUAGAAUACUACGUUUGGGAUUUAUUUUUAGAUUGAAAUGAUGCGUGACUCUGAAACUCUGCAAAGCUGGUGGAACAUUCCUUGUUUCUGCCCAAAGGCGCGUGUGUGAGGGCAAGCAGAUCCUACUAAAACAACCUUGACCCAAAAACCUGUGAGAGAAUAAUGUUAAAUCAAGAUUUAACUAAAAGGGACCCCAAAACACUUGGGCCCACGCUCGCCUUUGGGGAUGUGCUAACGUGCUUCCCUUUAGCAGAGCCAAGAGGAGCCCAGCAAAGCCCCCCCGGCUUCCCCAAGCUCUGUGUCCUGCUCUGCAGUUUGGCUUUUUCAAGAUGAAUUGUCACCAAAACAGCUAAAUUUUUUGUCUGUGUUUUGGCUGAAUUUCGUGGCCCUGGACUUGUGCUCCAUUGUUAUGGUUGUGCUCAGAACAGGGUUGUAUGGAAGUACAGGUGGUUGUACAACGCCCUUAUGGCAAUUUUGCACCAUAUGAAGAAACAAAUGUCUUCAACAACAUGGCUGUCUGUCUGUCCCAAGAAAUGAUCCUGGUGAUUUUACAGUGCUAACUGAAGCUCUGGUUCCAGAAACAUCUCCUUUUCCAACAUAAGCCUUGAUAUAGGAAAGCUUGUAAAGGAUGACCACAGACAUGGAUUAAGGUCUCCUUGCCCUCUACUUCCUGCUAACCUUGCAGACAGUGGAAGACUGUUACCACUUUCUAGCUUAAAAGAAUUGUAUCCUGUCAGCUUUUCCGGUCAUUUCAUCCCAAUAUUAUAGAAAACUUAAAUCCUCUUCUCUCCAGAGCAAGCCGUGCUCUUUCUCCCUCUCCAAGAGGCAACAGGGCAGGCUCUGAAUUGUCUGAGAGAAAAAUGGCAGAGUCCAAAAAGCAGGCUAAGGCUCCCAAAGAAGAUUUACGGCUGAGGCACUCAAGAGCUGUGUUGUCGGAGUGUUUCUCUUGGAAAGCCCUUACCCCUGCCCCGAUGGCAGCGGGGCUGUGGUAUUGCUGCUGCUUCUCCUUCAGGGGGGAGAGGCGGGGGCAUAUAUGGGUAAUUAGCACUUUUUCAAGGGUGGUGCUGGAGGGAGAAGGGAAAACAAACAUAAAAUAAAAUCCAGGCAAGAGGGUAAUAAUUCCAUCAUCAAAGCUGACAUACUGCACCGCAAGUCCUUUGAGCAGCAGAAACUUGACGUGGAAACCCCGUUGAAAGAGAAAUCUUUGUAUGAGCCUUUCUCAUAGGAUAAUUUUAGAAUCUGGCACUUCUUUUCACAGGGACAGUUUAAAAUCUGGAAUCGUUCACAGACAUCCAGGGCCAUUAGGUCAUGGAAUAUGACUUCUUCUAAAACGGAGGCCAAUGAAUUUCACCUACAUACCUUUAUAAACAUUUUUGUAGGGAGAAGUUUCUUCACAAGUGCGAGUUUCCAUGGGGAAAACUGUAUGCUUGAGAGCACAGUCAUGACUUCCACCCAGAAACCCAACUCCUUGAACCACUGGACUCUGACAUCAAUAGAAGGGUGCUCUGGAAACUGUGUGUGCUUCCCACCCUACUUGUAUCUUCCUCCUGGACAAAGCCAUUAGUCCUCACUUCUCUGAGCUAGACCCAGACAGAUGUCUCUAGGACCUUCCAACAAUCAGAAACUCCUCAGACCAAGUACCUAGUGUCACUGCAUGGGCACUGGAGCAUUUUUUCUGGUUUUGGUUGGAGGCAGGGAAGAUUUUGCUACAGACAAAAGACACAAGAGCGAAGGAGGAUGAAGGCUGUGGAAAAGGUGACACAUCUUUUUGAUAAAUUUAUUAAGGACCUCUACUUUCCCCUUCUCCUGAACAAAAACCUGUUUUUGUUUCCCAUGAAAAUUCACACCAAAAUGUUUACUCUGACAGAUUGAAAGAAGGAAACAGAAGACCCUAAAUGUAUUCUGAGUGUUCCAGCAUCUUUGAAUCGGAAUAGUUUUCUCUCUUCUUUACAAUAAAACUACCUUUCUCGUGCCUUUUCUGUUCAGCCUCCCAAGCAGGCAGCCUAGAGAUGCUCACAGCUCUAGGGCUGUUGCUUCGGAAAGAGGUGUGGUUUGAAGAGGUUUACUUUUACUAAAUCCCCUUUCUUAGGACAUUUGUUCUCCAAGCCUCCCAAGGCUAUCAGAUGUACUAUCGAGGCAGGGAAUGAUGCCAUCAAAGAGGCAAGGUAUUAGAGCAUAACCACUUGAAUGGUAGAAAUGUGCAUAACCUUUCUAUGUAUUUCUGUAACUUCCCAAUUCUCUCGCCAGUUUCCCUUCUUUUGGUGAGCAAAGUCUCUCCCGGUGCUCCUCCUUCACCACUCUGUUCCCCGUCUCCCUCCCCCUACUCAACCCUACCACUUGGCUCAAACUCUCUUUGGAAGUCAUCAGUUUUGCGGCUCCUUCAUGAGAUGCAUUGAUUUUGACCAUCAGUAGCACUGCCUGGGAAGCUAAGGGGGAGUAGGAAAGAAGAGCUGAUCUCCACAGCUUUGCAGUCCAUUCUGAGGGUACGAGGUUGAUUCCUGCCAUGAUGAGUUGAUGUAAUUAUGCAAACCCACAACUGAAAUCUUUCAUUGAAGAUUACUGCUUGGUAUCAGAGUGAAAGCUCUCAUUGUAUAUCAGGGAAACUUAUUUGUCAAAGCAACAUACCUGGGUAUUUUCAUACUUAAAAAGUGAUGCUUCUGGUGGGGUAAAUAAAUGUUCAAGUAUAAUCAGAGUUCACACGUAUGUUGAUGAAAAAUAAGAUAUCAUGGAACUCAAAACAAACCAGCAGAACAAUAAAACCAACAACAAAACCCAGCAAAAGCAUCAAUUCUGCCUCCCUGACCCCCAAGGUCAGCAAAACCUCUUCAAAUCAAGAAAGACUGCACUGGCAGACAACUAUGGGAGGCUUUACAUUAAUGUUUUCUUCCUUUGAAAAGGCUUUAAAUGCUUUUCUUAUGUUUUUACAAAAGCUUUUACAUUUUCUAGGGGUUCUCUUUCUGUCUGAAUGCCACUGGUAGCAAAGGAAAGGAAAUUCUUCAUGUCCUUUUGUUGAAGCUACAGCGAGGGCUUCAUGAGAAAAUUCCACAUGCAUGGAGCCCUGCAUGGGCUCCUGUAGAUGGGAAGGAGAGGAAAUCAACACCAGACAAAGAAAAACAGAUGUUUCAUCCGUGGCCAUAUCAACAAAUCAAUAUUAAUCAAUAAUGAGAUCCAUUUGUUACCCCUCAGAGCUGAUCGCCUGACUGCAUUUUCCAAGGCUCCAUUGGGCUGAAGUCCAAGGGGAUGCUGCCACUCAUGCAAAUGGGCAUGAAAGCUUGUCCCAAAAUGGCAGCCACGCAAGCCAGGCGUGCACCCUACCAGCCUGUGCUGAGGACCAGCAUCCAGCCUUGAUCUAGACAUCCGUAACUAGUUAAAGAUCUGUUUAUUACGCUCAGCAACAUACUCAGUUUAGAGAAAGCUACGUCACCAUUUACCAGUACUCCUUGUUUUGAUGUCAGUCCCCAACAUGCUUUUUUUAAUGAUUAUCAAAUCAUUAUGGGCCAUUCCCUGCAGAAGACAUUCCCCAGAAGUUGCAUGGACCCAUCCAACAUUCCUCCUACAUCUGAGCUGCAGUUGGUGAAAGCAGAGAGAGAAGACGAGUGGGGAAAAAAGGAAAAGCCAGUAGUUGGGAAAUGGAAAGGAAGGGAAGGAUUAAAUGAAAAGCUCUGCCAGGAUGUAGCCAUGGGGAGCUAAUUCACCAUGGGCAGAUCAGCUUGAGGGAGGACUGAGUUUAAAGGGUCGUAGUCUAGCAGACAGCUGGCACUCAGCUGGUGAUGCUGCUGGUGUGUGCUGUUCCAACACAGCCUAUAAUCACCACCACAAUGCGUUCUGGAUUUUUUAAUUUCUUUCUUUUUUUUCAGAGUGACUUGUACAGGAAAUUUUUCCUCAUCACAUGCAAAAGCUGUUCCGAUUCCCCAAAGUAAGAGGCUUGGCAAGUCAAUUACAAGGAAAGUAGAAGUGCUAAAGCAUAUGAACAAAUUUUAACAACGUGCAAGCGUAACUUUUAUUGCCAACAGUAGAUGCACAUUGGAAUUUGAGGCGGGGGGAAGAAACGCUGAUGAAGUGGCAAAAUACAGUUGUUUUGCUUUAUCUACAGAGAACGCUGUGGUUUCAUUUGCAGAUGAAUCACUUUGUUGUGAUUUAUUCAGUUUUUAAAUGGAUCUGAUUUAUUUUCCCAGGGGAUUUGAGAGAUUUCUUUAGUAAAGCAAGUUAUGGAGCUGGCUUACAAUGAAAGGCAAGAUAAUUGCACCAAAAUGUUUGAAGAAGAUCAAGUUAGGGUGUCACCUGCCAGAACAUUCUGACAACAAACCAGAACAAAAUCCAAGAAUAUAAGAACGUAAACAAAAAAGCAAACAAAAAAGUAAAUAAACGACUAUUAAAAAAAAAAAAAGGAGAAAACUAGAAUCUAGACAAACCAAACACAGACCUGCCAGUUGUUGAAAAAGCCUUUAAGGAAUAUCUUCCUUUGGAGGACUCUGUUCCAGGGCACUACAAUAUCAACUUUGCCAGAGCAAUUAAAUUGUUUAAUAAUCAAACCUGGAUCUCAUUUAUACAGCAUAUGAACGUAGUAAAAUAGAGUGUAUGGGAAGUGUGCUGUACAAUAAGAUGUGGUUUAUUUCAUGUCACAAGUUUUCUGGUGAUUAGAUAGUUCAUAUAACAGGAAAAAAUGUUAACACCUAACGAAUAUAAUAUAUACAGCCAGCAGAUUUGCCAGCUUCAAUACUUUUCCUACAUUCACAGUCUUUUUUUUUUUUUUUUUUUUUUUUAUUUUGAAUCCCAUUGAGAACAUGGAAGUUGAAGAUUCAAUCCAAAUCUCAAGAUUAAGUGAAAAGAUGCUCUCAGGAUCUCCGGGACUCUUGUACCUGGCUGCAGAAUAAAGCUUUCUAAAAUAGAAAGAGUUAUACUUAAACAUACAAAAUCUAUCAUUCUGGCAAAAGUUUUAAGCUAGAGAUGUGUCUGCUCCAGACAUAAGCAAUUUUUCUCAAGAGUUUCUACAUAAACAAUUUUUGCUUCCCUUCUUACACAUAUAUGAAAUGAAAUGAAUGUGAAUGGUUUUGAGCAUCACUAUCAUAAGAAAUAAUACAAAGUUUUGCCAUUUAUACUCUGGCUAGAAAGUACUCUCUUCAAAAUAUCAGCCACAUGAGAUGAUACCUACGCAACCAAAUGCAACUCUGCAAACCACCUUCUGUCAUCAGAAACACUUUGGUUAUGAAGAAGCUCUUGUUUUCAGCACAGAGGAAUCGACUGAAGCUCAACUUUCUGCCAUGGAAGAACUGAUACGGAUAACGUGGCCAGAUCUCCUGGCAGGAGAGGACUCAAAGUUUAUUUGAGCAUCAAGUGAAACACCUCCCACUUAAAAAGUGAGCGUCCUGCGGCAGGUUGGAAAGAGUUUACAAUAGGCUUUGAUGCCCUUGCUCAGCCACAUUUCCUCUUCCAGGAUUUGUUGGGAAGAGGGGGAGGGUGAAAAGGGAACAGGUCCCAAACCCUUUACUAUCUCUUCUGAGCUUGUUGCCUUUUGUAAGCCACAAAGAACAGAUUUUCUUUUGUAAAUCCUUAGUAAUUAAACGAGUACUUCACUGGC